CCCAAUCCCCACAACCGCAAUUCCCACAGCCGCAUGCCCACAUCCCUCCCUCCUCCCUCGUCUCAGCCGCCACCCCACGAACCCUAGCCGCGCCCUACUACAUCUGUCCUCCUUCCCCCCUCCCUGGUCCGCCCCAAGCCCCUCCUCCUCCGCCCUCACAUGCUCCACCCUGAGCACACCGGCAGCGAAGUGCACCGCGAGGCCCCGAAGCAACUCAGCCAAAGCCCCUCCGUACAGGAGGAACCCCGCGGCCAGCGCAGCCAACAACGACACGUACAAGAGGUCGGCCUUGAUGGGUUGCGCGCCGUACGCGAGGGUCAUGUCCACACUGGAGGGCAGCAACGUGCACAUGGCGCGGUACGUGGAGGUGCGCAGGGAGAAGGUGCACGGCUCCGCCUAGCACCAUGUGUGCGGCAGCGGGGACAGGCGGCCACGGGCAGAUUUUGGGGAGCGGCACGAGCAUCUAGCAAUGGCUGAUGCCAAGGCAUGCCAAGAUCAAGGAUAUUUAUACUUGUUUCUUCUAUCGAUGAAAGAUUUCAGAUACUUUUGUAGAUGAAUUUCUGGGCUAAGAUAAAUGAUGUUGCUCCACAAAAUUAUCUCCUUAGUUGCAUUCCAUUUAUAGUUCAUGUUCAUGGCCUUGCUGUGGUUGCAUCAUGGUCCGUGGGGAAUAGAAACAAAUACCUUUGCUACAACCGAGGUCUUGACAGACCAGUCAGGGAGAUAUAGGUUCGGAUCAAUUUUUUUUCAUAAUUUUGCAGGGGUUGAUAUGCUCUAUCCCUUGAGGAAGAAAUGAAGUUGAGGGGAGGCUAUUGCAUGCUGGAAAAUCAGUUGGUGUUGUCUAUGUUGGUUUCAGGAAGAAAAGGACCGGCAAAUUGAUGGCUCAGGCAUGUCAUACAAAGUACCUUGUUGUAUCUAGCAGAUUGCGAGGAUUCCCUUCUGUUGUAAGAUGAAAACCUGGUUAUAUGUUGCAUCUCAAAAUCAAGAUGUUCAUUCGAGAAGAGAAAGGAGUUGUCGGUGUGUCGUGGUGCGCGACCUUGUCCCGGAGUAUGCAUUUUAUAUAAAGUAAUGUGUAUCAAUGCUUUCUCAUACAUAUGAUUCUGAAGUAAUAGAGAGCAGGAAGUGGCAGGCUUAAUUUCAAUUAGAUAAAUAGGUGUACUGCAGCAUCAUAUAUUUAGGUAAUCCCUUUUAUUUUUCUUGCCAGGUUCAUGCUAUAUACAUUGUGUAUAUGCACAUAAAGUACACCCACAUAAACUGUAGUUUGUAGUAUCAGCAGCAAACAGAGGUGCAGCUAAGUAGUAGCAUGUCCCUAUUAUAAAUGGGUAGAAAAAUAAGAGCUUAUCAAAAGAACAGUAUCUCCGUUACAUGAUAAGGAUGAAUGUUUGAUGUUAUGCAUAUGUGUAAAAGCACUCCACUAUCAUGCAAAUAGUAUCAUGUUCAGAGCCUUAAUAAUGGCAGUUGUAAACCCAAAAUAAUCCAUCUUAUAAUUUAGGAUAUAGUAUAGAUUCCGGUGAGAACCACUCCAAUAAGAAUGCUAGCUGCUACUAUAUAUCUAAUUGGUCCCAGAUUGAAAAUCUUAGCUGUUAAUCUCUGAAUGCAGUAUGCACUUGUGCUGAAACAUAGAGCAUGUGUGGUGUUGCUCUGUACAUGAAUGAAAAAUCUCAGUUAUUAAUCUGUAAAUGAAGAAUGAUCAUGGUUCCCCACCUCUCUACUACUCAUAGUAAUGCCACCCUUUGCUAAUUUAUCUUUGGUUGUUCAAUGCAUGAUAACAUUUUUUGAAUUUGCAACAUAUGAUACCUUCAUCUUCUGAGUAGGAAGUCACUGGGCAAAAUUUUGCUGAUCAGAUGUAUGUAUAGUAUAAUAAUAGCAUAAUAAUAGCAGGUGAUAUACUAUAAUUGCCAUAUUAUUGAGCUUGAUAUCAUGUUUGAACUAGACAAAUAAUUUUGACAGGAUUUUAUCCUGGCAUAAACAUGCUGACAUAGUGUCAACAUAAUAACAGAAAAACCUUUUCGAAAUUCAACAUUAUAGAAUAUAAAGCAAGACAAAGUUAUCUCCUUGAAAUUUCUUUGACAACAUUCUAGAACAUGUGCCGGAUUCUAUUCGUUGAACCAAUAUUCUUCCAAUAUUUUGCAAGCCUAGAUAGUUUGAUAUCCCUAAAUGAUAAAUUCAGUUAAGGAAGCAACCAACUUAGCUAUCGUAUUGUCGGUUCUUUGACUAAAUUACUUUUGUGAGUAACAGUAUUUUAUUAGAAAUUGUUUCACUACCUGUUGUUCUUUAUAUUAGAUUUCGAAAAAAGCCAAGGCAGUAAGUCAACUAUUAGUUUGACUGAUUAUCAUAUUUCUUCUUGCACUUAAACUGCUUGACAGGUUGAUCCAGAUGAAGUAAAUGCACUUGCUCAACUGGUGACAUAGAAGACUGCCCAUUACGGCGGUACCAUAUGGUGGAGUGAAGGGAGGAACAGGGUACUCGUCUGGUGAUUUAAGUAGGAGUGAGUUGGAGCAUCUAAUGCGUGUAUUUACUCAGAAAAAUUGUGAUCUUACCGGAACUCAUACCUAUAUUCUAGCUCCAGCCAUGGGAACUAAUUCACAGUUAUGUUAUGCAAUUUCGGUGUCUUUUCUACCGUUUACUACCUUCCUAUGCUCUGCAACUAACUCUAUCUAAAACCAGGGCUGCUUUUUAUAGGUAUGUUUAUGCCCCUUAUGCCAUUAUUUUAAAUGUUUCUUUACUGUAUUGCUUAUGAAUAGAUACAAAGUUUUUUUAUGUACUGUACUAUCCAGUGCGGAUAAAAACAACUUUGAUCCUCCCUUUGGUGUCUCCAUGGAUGCAUAUAUGUAUUUAUUGUUCAUAUCGCAGAAUAAGGAUAAAUGUUUCGUUGGCAAAAUAUGAUCCUUCUAGAUAUCUUGUUGUACAAAUAAUCUCUCUUUAUGUAUCAUUGUUACUUUUGUUUCUGCUUGGUGUAUUUAACCUUACUUUUCAUGGUCAUUGCCUCAUGGUUCUGCUUCUACUGCAGGUUGUAGUACGUCAGUGAUGAUGAAAAGAUACUCGCUGUGUGUAUCAACUGUUUGACAAAGGUAUCUCAUGUACCGAGUGUUCUAAGAGACAAUGCACCCUCACUACCCUAGGCAGGCAGCUGUAGUGCGUUUGCAUUUGUUUCACUUUUAGUUUCUAUGGGGAGAAUUUUCAUUAUUAUCAACAUAGACAUACAAAUUAACCAGUUUCAGAAAAUCAUCUGGCUAACUGAAAAAGAAAAAAGAGAUCCAAAUUAUCUAUUUGGUAGGGCUGAUUUUAAUACUCAAUGUGUUCAAUACAGAACUGACAAACAACAAACUUUGGUUACCUACAAAUUCGUAUAAGCCUGAAGUGUGCUAAUCCCCUUGAAAGUUAAAUAUCAAAGCAAGUAUCAAGAAUCUUAUUAGCUCAACCUAAAAUGUUGCUGUGCGUCAUACUUCUUAAUAUCAAAGUUAAAUGCUAUAUCUUCUGGAUGCCUCCCUUUCUACUGCUGACCAUAGGUAAUUCUGAGUUAAGUGAUAACUAUCUUGCAUGACCAAAUUUCUUAAAAUUUUGUAUAUUUCGUAAUGCUCCUUUAACUUCUAAUAUCUAAGGCGUCCCAUGAGAAACUAGGUCUAUGGAACGCCAAGGUCGCAGGUCGCUAACUCAGUUGUAUGAGGAUCUUGUUUUCAUUGUCUCUCUUUGAUAUCAAACAAUACAUGUCCUACAAAUCCGAGAUCCAGGCAGCCUUGUUGUGGUACAAAGAAUUGGUGCAUUUUUAUAGUUCUGGAAUGUGCUUCUAAUUCAUAUUUGCUGGUUCUUUCAGCUUAUGAUCCAUCUGUAGAUAAGUCAUUACCGUUCCUGUUCAAGAGAUAUAUGGAUGGCAAUGAUCAUAUAACAAAAUAUUGCGGGACCAGGCUUGGCCUUGCAGUCUGCAAACAGUUGGUAUCAAUUUGUUCAGUCCAAAUCCUUGGUUCAUCUAGAAAACAACACUAGGAUUAAGGUGUUUUUGCCUUCAUAUGUGUAAAAAUUGUGUAACGCUUAUUUGAUUUUUCAUGAUGAAUUAGGUGGACUUGAUGGGUGGUACUCUCACUGCUUAGCAAAGAGAAAUGAUUGAAUAAAGGCUCAACAUUUAUAGUCAUGCUGCCCUGCACAAUUCCUGCAAGAGAUGUCGAGUGAUGAUCUUGGUAACGGGCAAAACUCCUGUAACAAAACUUUUUGCGAGUACUACAUUGGUUUGACUGCUGAAAUACCACGCUUCGGAAAAAAAGGCAAAAAUGUUUUACGUCCGAGGCAUGGGAAGUAUAGACUAAAGAAUGUGGUUUAAAGUUUCCCUAUUUUGUUAGAUUAGCUAAGGUGUUGAUUUGUUGAUUCAUGUGAGCGAUGUAUGUAAUCAAGAAUCAAGAAAGCAUACCAGUAUAUUGCAAUUCCUAAACUUACAAAAAUGAGAAGGAUGCAAGGAUGCCCAAACCUAUAGAUUUGUAAUUGACAUUUAGCACUACAUGUUGCCACUGAGUAAUUUUUCAUGUAAUGUUCUUAUAUAAAUAUGUUUUUU